CCCUUAGAUGUCCUGGGCCGCACGCGCGCUACACUGAUGCAUGCAACGAGUUUAUAACCUUGGCCUGAAAGGUCUGGGUAAUCUUUUGAACGUGCGUCGUGAUAGGGAUAGAUUAUUGCAAUUGUUAAUCUUGAACGAGGAAUUCCUAGUAAACGCGAGUCAUCAGCUCGCAUUGAUUACGUCCCUGCCCUUUGUACACACCGCCCGUCGCACCUACCGAUUGAAUGGUUCGGUGAAGAUCUCGGACUUCGAUAUUUAUUCUUUAUUGAGUUUAUAUUGUGGGAAGUUAUCUAAACCUCAUCAUUUAGAGGAAGGUGAAGUCGUAACA
rnacentral:rRNA from 1 species